UAAUCAGUUUCGUCCACCAAGUCUCAUUCGGCUAUUCAACAUCUCUUUAAUCAACAUCUUUUUGUUUAAAUCUCUUUAUUCAGCAUCUCUUUAUUGAGUUCGUUGCAGUCAAAUACUCGGAACAGAAUGUUCGUGUCCAUCUUAGUUCUGUGCAUAUCUUCCAGUGUCAUUGUGACUCCUGGACACAGCUCCAAAGAACUACUUGACGUGCUUAAAGCCAAGCCAAUACUCUCGAGAAAUACCAGGACCAUCCCGUAAGUAUGGUUAGAGCAUGUCACUUUCUUUAAUUUGUU